GAUCUUUUGAGUUUAAUCUUUUUUGAAUCUUUUUGAAUCAUUUCUAAUCUUUCCGAAUCAUGCAUAUCAAGAAGGACAGAAAUUUUUGAUUCAGUGUCUGAAGAACACCUGUCAAACCGAACCUCGUUCGCGCGCGCGAAAUAAACAAGUGAAAACAAAACACCAAAGAGCAGCGGUGAACAUUGCUUAAAUUGUUAAUAUUCUUGGCUGACAUGCCGGAGCUUGAUGACCGGUCUGGUGCCGUACUGAGAUGUACCGUAGACAGCCACCUUUCUGAGCGUUCGUCAGUCAUCGAUUUGCUGCCAGCUAGAAUUUUCCUCGACCCAUACCUACUUCAUUUUCGAAGGUGCUCCACAACUAGCCUCUGGGUGUGCUCUGGGUCUAUUCUGCUGCGAAGUUCUGAUGGAUUCGUACAGUAAAUUACCGUUCUCGUUGUGAAAACGAUUCUACUAGUAAGGCGAAAAACAUUAGGUUGGUGUAGACGGUCUGCCACGAUAUGGCAGCGUAUUUUUCGUGUAAAGCUGCCGCGAAAAGAACAAGCUCCGGAAUUAGCGUUUUGAUUUGGAGACGCAGAAGUAGGUACGUGACAAAAUUCUAAGACCCCAACGCACCGAAAUGUUCUGUCGGCGUUUCUCUUGUUCUGCAACGGUGAAUGGAACAAGUUGCAGGGCAAGGCGCAGUACGAACAGGUGGUCAAGCUGAAAUAGGAAAACGAAUAGACCGGUGGAAUCUCAAUCAACUCGCUGUAAACCAGCACGUAGCAUGCGGUAGUGACCCAACAGGAGAUGGAGAAACAGCUGACCAGGGAAUCGAACGUAGUUUGCGACGAUAAAGGCACUUCUGCUAAUCAUGGAGCAGCUUCUUCACCGGUCUCAUUUAUCAAAUGCUUUGUAAUAUUUCUUUCUGUUUUUAUAUAAUAUUAAUAAAAAAAAAUGCGGUGGGUGGGGGUGAGGUG